GACGAACGCUGGCGGCGUGCUUAACACAUGCAAGUCGAGCGGUAAGGCCCUUUCGGGGGUACGACGAGCGGCGAACGGGUGAGUAACACGUGGGUGACCUGCCCUCAGCUCUGGGAUAAGCCUGGGAAACUGGGUCUAAUACUGGAUAUGACUCCACGGUGCAUGUCGUGGGGUGGAAAGCCUUGUGCGGCUGAGGAUGGGCCCGCGGCCUAUCAGCUUGUUGGUGGGGUGAGGCCUACCAAGGCGACGACGGGUAGCCGGCCUGAGAGGGCGACCGGCCACACUGGGACUGAGACACGGCCCAGACUCCUACGGGAGGCAGCAGUGGGGAAUCUUGCGCAAUGGGCGAAAGCCUGACGCAGCGACGCCGCGUGAGGGAUGACGG
rnacentral:rRNA from 1 species